GACAGAGGCCCCAAGCGUUAGGCGGAAUCACUGGGCUUAAAGCGUGUGUAGGCGGACGCCUAAGUGUCUUGUGAAAUCCCACGGCUCACCCGUGGAACUGCUGGGCAUACUGGGCGUCUUGGGCCAACUAGGGGCAGCCGGAACAAGCGGUGGAGCGGUGAAAUGCGUAGAUAUCGCUUGGAACGCCGAAGGUGAAAACAGGCUGCUGGGGUUGUGCCGACGCUGAGACACGAAAGCCAGGGGAGCAAACAGG
rnacentral:rRNA from 1 species